rnacentral:rRNA from 1 species
CAGUCGCCACGGUAAUACGUAGGGUGCAAGCGUUAAUCGGAAUUACUGGGCGUAAAGCGUGCGCAGGCGGUUAUAUAAGACAGAUGUGAAAUCCCCGGGCUCAACCUGGGAACUGCAUUUGUGACUGUAUAGCUAGAGUACGGCAGAGGGGGAUGGAAUUCCGCGUGUAGCAGUGAAAUGCGUAGAUAUGCGGAGGAACACCGAUGGCGAAGGCAAUCCCCUGGGCCUGUACUGACGCUCAUGCACGAAAGCGUGGGGAGCAAACAGGAUUAGAUACUCGCGUAGUCCCUGUCUCUUAUAC